AGUGAACGCUGGCGGUAGGCCUAACACAUGCAAGUCGAACGGCAGCACAGUAAGAGCUUGCUCUUACGGGUGGCGAGUGGCGGACGGGUGAGGAAUACAUCGGAAUCUACUUUUUCGUGGGGGAUAACGUAGGGAAACUUACGCUAAUACCGCAUACGACCUACGGGUGAAAGCAGGGGAUCUUCGGACCUUGCGCGAUUGAAUGAGCCGAUGUCGGAUUAGCUAGUUGGCGGGGUAAAGGCCCACCAAGGCGACGAUCCGUAGCUGGUCUGAGAGGAUGAUCAGCCACACUGGGACUGAGACACGGUCCAGACUCCUACGGGAGGCAGCAGUGGGGAAUAUUGGACAAUGGGCGCAAGCCUGAUCCAGCCAUACCGCGUGGGUGAAGAAGGCCUUCGGGUUGUAAAGCCCUUUUGUUGGGAAAGAAAAGCAGCAGGUUAAUACCCCGCUGUUCUGACGGUACCCAAAGAAUAAGUACCGGCUAACUUCGUG
rnacentral:rRNA from 1 species